rnacentral:rRNA from 1 species
AGAGUUUGAUCAUGGCUCAGGAUGAACGCUAGCGGCAGGCUUAAUACAUGCAAGUCGAGGGGCAGCAUGUCUGUAGCAAUACAGAUGAUGGCGACCGGCAAACGGGUGCGGAACACGUACGCAACCUACCCAAAACUGGGGAAUAGCCCGGGGAAACCCGGAUUAAUACCUCGUAACAUAUUGAAGUGGCAUCACUUUAUUAUUAUAGCUCAGGCGGUUUUGGAUGGGCGUGCGGCUGAUUAGGUAGUUGGCGGGGUAACGGCCCACCAAGCCUGCGAUCAGUAACUGGUGUGAGAGCACGACCAGUCACACGGGCACUGAGACACGGGCCCGACUCCUACGGGAGGCAGCAGUAAGGAAUAUUGGUCAAUGGACGCAAGUCUGAACCAGCCAUGCCGCGUGAAGGAUGAAGGCCCUCUGGGUUGUAAACUUCUUUUAUCUGGGACGAAACCUCCUAUUCUUAGGAGACUGACGGUACCAGAGGAAUAAGCACCGGCUAACUCCGUGCCAGCAGCCGCGGUAAUACGGAGGGUGCAAGCGUUAUCCGGAUUCACUGGGUUUAAAGGGUGCGUAGGAGGGUUGGUAAGUCAGUGGUGAAAUCUCCGAGCUUAACUUGGAAACUGCCGUUGAUACUAUCAAUCUUGAAUAUCGUGGAGGUGAGCGGAAUAUGUCAUGUAGCGGUGAAAUGCUUAGAUAUGACAUAGAACACCAAUUGCGAAGGCAGCUCGCUACACGAAUAUUGACUCUGAGGCACGAAAGCGUGGGGAUCAAACAGGAUUAGAUACCCUGGUAGUCC